rnacentral:misc_RNA from 1 species
AAAAAAAAAAAAUAGUGAUCAUUGCUAUUGUCAUCAUUGAAAUUUCUUUAAAGGACAAGAACAAGAAUGCAACACAAGAAAACCAUUAUUGUGAUGUACAAACUACGAUUCAUAACUUGUUGCUCAAUCUCAGUGAUGGAAGUCGCCCAUUACAAAUAAAAGAAUAUUCCAUUUCAUGAAGAAACGUCUGGAUAUACAGCAUGGUAGCUCUCACUGUAACAUCAUUUUAAUGUCCCUGAGCCACACCAAACUGACUAUGGAAAUGACAGAAUAUUUGCAUGCACAUUUGAAUUUGUCUUGACAUCAAGUAAUAUGCUACUUUUUCCACUGUUUCCUCAAACGAUUUGUAUAAAAAGCAAACAUUGAAGACGGUUUUCACUUUCCUUUUGAUUAUGUUAUUUCCUGGAUAUUCACAAGCCAUAGUUUGCUUUAAGAAUGAUAGAGAAACCUUUGCAGGCAAAAAUGUGGCAUUUGCUUUUUGAUUAGGAGCAACUUCCUCAAUCAUGGUA